rnacentral:tRNA from 1 species
UGGGAUGUCGUCAAGUGGUAAGACACUAGAUUUUGAUUCUAGCAUUCGCAGGUUCGAGUCCUGCCAUCCCAACCA